CUAACCCCACUAGAAAAAACUCAAACACGGGCUGUGAAAGGAUCAGAAUCACAACCUCGUUCAGUUCAAAUCAAGGAAGAUUUGAGGAAAGCAAAUGAGCUGAUAGCAUCACUCGGCUGAAGAGGCGUCCGGGAAACUAGAUGAGGCUUUUAAAACUGCUCAAGAGAAGUUUGAAAUUGAGAAAUUUGAGGCUGUUGAGGCGGGUAUAGAGGCGGUUCAGAGAAAAGAAGAGGAAUGGAAGAAAGAACUCGAAAACGUCAAGAGCCAGCAUGCUUCGGAUUCAGCUGCUCUAGGCCAAUCAAGAAUUGGCUGCUGCUAAUGAUGCCAAGAGUAAGGUUUUGAGUCAAGCAGAUGAUGCUACUAAGAUAGCUGCAAUUCAUGCAGAGAAAGUUGAAAUCUUGUCAUCAGAGUUGAUAAGAUUUUAGGCUUUGCUUGAUUCAACCCGAGAGAAGGAAACCAUAUCCAAGAAUGAGAUUGCUUCAAAAUUAGGAGCGGAAAUAGUGGUUCUAGAAAGAGAGCUUGAGAAAGCGAGAAGUUUUGAAGCAAAGGUCAAGGAACUUGAGAUGACCAUUGAGCAGCUUAAUGUUGAUUUAGAAGCUGCUAAGAUAGCAGAAACUUAUGCGCAUGGCUCUGCUGAUGAGUGGCAAAACAAAGCGAAAGAAUUGGAGAAACGGUUGGAAGAAGCUAACAUGCUGGAGAGAUCUGCCUCGGUAUCUCUGGUAUCUGUGACAAAGCAGCUGGAAGGAAGCAAUAGUAGAUUGCACGAUAUGGAAUCUGAGAUUACUGAUCUUAAGGAGAAAAUUGAGUUAUUGGAGAUGACUGUUGCUAGACAAAAGGUUGAUCUUGAGAAAUCUGAGCAGGGGCUAGUUAUUGCAGAAGAAGAAUUAUCUAAGAUUGAGAAAGAAGCAGAGAAACUGAAGAAUGAGCUUUAAAUGCUACUUCAAGUGUUCAAAGGCUCGUUUGAUCUAAAGCCAGCCGCCAAGCCAGAGUCGAGAGGCUUCCCCGUACAAGUGAUAACAGGAAAUCUCUCUCCUGAACAUGGGUUAUCAAUACUCAAACGACUAUGCGAGGAGGGUUAAUGUAAGUCCUGUCUCUUAGAGUCUUGGAGUUCAUGCAUUCUUGAUCCAAGCAAGAAUGAAGCUAGCGGUUGUGUUUGGUUUAUCAUUGAGUAACGCUCUCGUGUUCUUAAGGAACCUGCAUUUUGACAAGCAGUAGUAGAAUUAGGAUGUAUGGGUUUCUUCUGAUUGUAAUAUUUUUGUUCUCAAAUUAUAGUUUUACUUUCUAAUAUCAAAAUUAUGUGUUUGCCACAAUGUGCACUUGAGAAGACAAAUGAGUCCGUCCUAAUACUUUUCUUUCCUUUGUUUCAUGCUUUUCUUCUAAUUCAACUAUUCAAGGAUCCCCAAUAAAAUGAUUGAAACGAUGGAAA